AGGAGUCUGCCCCACUCAUAGAUUCCCUGAUACCCAACCAGAAGAAGUACAAUCAAUGCCAAGGCUGUAGACAUUUGGAGCUGGCUUCUGUGCUGCCAUCUGUCUCUGCUCUCUAUUUUGCCAGAAAUCGGAUUUUCUUGGUCUUCAGUUGAUCUGC
rnacentral:lncRNA from 1 species